GAUAGCCCUCAAGCCUAGGUUCUUAAGAGCUGGAUGGAUGAAGAUUCUAAGCUGUUGGAGGAAUCGCUUUCAACUGUCUGUCUGAAGCUGGAUUUCAACACUGGAGCUGUGAAUCUGGGACUCUCCCUGGAAAACCCAUCUUUCAAGCUGCUUGCCUUAGAUUAUCAUCAAGAAGGGGUUGAGAGGAAAUCGCCAUUCAUUCUGAUGGACAGAGUGAUUUUGGAAGAGAAUUUCUCCCUUCCUGGAUCUUCUAAGGACUUUAUAACUGGAUUACUGCAGCCUGACCCACCAAGCACUCUGGAGAGGGCUGAACUAUCAUCGUUAUCUCCAUUUUCCAGAAGAGGAGUUGGAGGUCACAGAACAGCAGAGUGACCCAUCCAGCUUCCCACCCCAUUGAGAGAAAAUCAACAGCCUUUAAAGAACCUGCCUCCAAGGAAGGCUUAAAGAAAAGAUGAAAGACUGAUAUUUUAUCAAAUUUCCAGGAAAAAAGAUUCCUCCUUAGAAAUAUUUCACCUGGAAGAACCCUUAGAAACCUAGUUAAGCUCUUCCGUCUUACAGAGGAAGCACCCAGAAAAGGAAAGGGACUUGUCCCAAGAUACAUCAAGGAAUGGAAGAAGAGCUGGGACAAGGUGGUGAAGAAGGACAAAAUCUGAAAGGGCACCCCCAAGGCUCCUCGAGAUCUCCCUGGACGUCUUAGUUAGGUCAUGCUCUGCCAGACUACCCAGAUUACUUAUUACUAAGACUCCCCAGCCAAGUAGGAAUUGGGGGUUCUGGGAAAGAAGCCAGGGUACUUAGCCAGCCUGAUUUAGGCAAGUAGAUUGGCAUAGUCCAUUUUCCUGGAACAGAACACCUCUGGCCCCGAGGGUGCUCCUUCUUUCCCAGAGGACUCAUGAAUCCUAGCCUGCCACAGCAGGACACGAUGACCUGCCCUGUUCCACUGGGGAUCUGGAUGCAGCCUCUCCUACUGUCUGCCAGUUAAAGUGGUGACAUUGCUGGAGAGGCAAGGGAAAAUGGUCCUGAUUUCUUUUUUGGAUGGGUUGGGAGCCAUUAUAUAGAGCAGCUAGAGUUUGAACCCCAUGGGGCUUUGAAAAGAGUCUGCGGCAGCCUUCCUCUCCACCCACCAGCCUAUUUGUGAGGUUGUGUGGGAGAGAGACCCAACCCAGCCUCAUUACUUUCAGGAGCACAAAGAAAACUAAGCCUCCUUUUUAUAGUGAAAGAAAAAAAUGUCAAAGACCAAGGAAGUGGCAUGGCAAACUCUAGGCUAGGAUUAUUCAGAAGAUGAUCGUUCUCCCCCCCGGCUAUUUCCAUUGCUAGCUGGGUGAUCUUGGGCAAAUUAUUAAUGCCACUGAGGCUCAGUUUUCUCAUCUCUAAAAUGGAAAUGUACCUGUCUUGCGGACCUG
rnacentral:lncRNA from 1 species